rnacentral:rRNA from 1 species
AGACGCGACCAUACUACUUUGGAAACACCAGCUCUCUUCUGAUCACCGAAGUUAAGCAACGUCUGGCCCGGUUGGUACUUGCAUGGGUGAUCGGGUGUUGCGGCCG